rnacentral:rRNA from 1 species
UACAGAGGUCCCAAGCGUUGUUCGGAUUCACUGGGCGUAAAGGGUGCGUAGGCGGUCGGGUAAGUCUGACGUGAAAUCUUCAAGCUCAACUUGGAAACUGCGUCCGAUACUAUUCGGCUAGAGGAAUGGAGGGGAGACUGGAAUACUUGGUGUAGCAGUGAAAUGCGUAGUUAUCAAGUGGAACACCAGUGGCGAAGGCGAGUCUCUGGACAUUUCCUGACGCUGAGGCACGAAAGCCAGGGGAGCAAACGGG